rnacentral:rRNA from 1 species
AGAGUUUGAUCCUGGCUCAGAUUGAACGCUGGCGGCAUGCCUUACACAUGCAAGUCGAACGGCAGCACGGGUGCUUGCACCUGGUGGCGAGUGGCGAACGGGUGAGUAAUAUAUCGGAACGUACCCUAGAGUGGGGGAUAACGUAGCGAAAGUUACGCUAAUACCGCAUACGAUCUACGGAUGAAAGUGGGGGAUCGCAAGACCUCAUGCUCAUGGAGCGGCCGAUAUCUGAUUAGCUAGUUGGUGGGGUAAAAGCCUACCAAGGCGACGAUCAGUAGCUGGUCUGAGAGGACGACCAGCCACACUGGAACUGAGACACGGUCCAGACUCCUACGGGAGGCAGCAGUGGGGAAUUUUGGACAAUGGGGGCAACCCUGAUCCAGCAAUGCCGCGUGAGUGAAGAAGGCCUUCGGGUUGUAAAGCUCUUUUGUCAGGGAAGAAACGGGAUUUUCUAAUACAAAGUCCUAAUGACGGUACCUGAAGAAUAAGCACCGGCUAACUACGUGCCGGCAGCCGCGGCAAUACGUAGGGUGCAAGCGUUAAUCGGAAUUACUGGGCGUAAAGCGUGCGCAGGCGGUUGUGCAAGACAGAUGUGAAAUCCCCGGGCUCAACCUGGGAAUUGCAUUUGUGACUGCACGGCUAGAGUGUGUCAGAGGGGGGUAGAAUUCCACGUGUAGCAGUGAAAUGCGUAGAGAUGUGAAGGAAUACCGAUGGCGAAGGCAGCCCCCUGGGAUGACACUGACGCUCAUGCACGAAAGCGUGGGGAGCAAACAGGAUUAGAUACCCUGGUAGUCCACGCCCUAAACGAUGUCUACUAGUUGUCGGGUUUUAAUUGACUUGGUAACGCAGCUAACGCGUGAAGUAGACCGCCUGGGGAGUACGGUCGCAAGAUUAAAACUCAAAGGAAUUGACGGGGACCCGCACAAGCGGUGGAUGAUGUGGAUUAAUUCGAUGCAACGCGAAAAACCUUACCUACCCUUGACAUGUACGGAACUUACCAGAGAUGGUUUGGUGCUCGAAAGAGAACCGUAACACAGGUGCUGCAUGGCUGUCGUCAGCUCGUGUCGUGAGAUGUUGGGUUAAGUCCCGCAACGAGCGCAACCCUUGUCAUUAGUUGCUACGAAAGGGCACUCUAAUGAGACUGCCGGUGACAAACCGGAGGAAGGUGGGGAUGACGUCAAGUCCUCAUGGCCCUUAUGGGUAGGGCUUCACACGUCAUACAAUGGUACAUACAGAGGGCCGCCAACCCGCGAGGGGGAGCUAAUCCCAGAAAGUGUAUCGUAGUCCGGAUUGUAGUCUGCAACUCGACUACAUGAAGUUGGAAUCGCUAGUAAUCGCGGAUCAGCAUGUCGCGGUGAAUACGUUCCCGGGUCUUGUACACACCGCCCGUCACACCAUGGGAGCGGGUUUCACCAGAAGUAGGUAGCCUAACCGCAAGGAGGGCGCUUACCACGGUGGGAUUCGUGACUGGGGUGAAGUCGUAACAAGGUA